GACGAACGCUGGCGGCGUGCUUAACACAUGCAAGUCGAACGGAAAGGCCUGCUUUCCCUUGUGGAUUGCGGGUGCUCGAGUGGCGAACGGGUGAGUAACACGUGAGUGAUCUGCCCCCAACUUGGGUAUAAGCCUGGGAAACUGGGUCUAAUUCCCGAUAGGACUGCAGGGUGGUGCCCGUGGUGGAAAACGAUUUUCUAGUGGUUGGGGAUGAGCUCGCGGCCUAUCAGCUUGUUGGUGGGGUAAUGGCCUACCAAGGCGGCGACGGGUAGCCGGCCUGAGAGGGUGGACGGCCACAUUGGGACUGAGAUACGGCCCAGACUCCUACGGGAGGCAGCAGUGGGGAAGAUUGCACAAUGGGCGGAAGCCUGAUGCAGCGACGCCGCGUGGGGGAUGACGGCCUUCGGGUUGUAAACUCCUUUCGACCGCGAGGAAGCCACCUGGUUGGAAGGGUGGUGACGGUAGUGGUAGAAGAAGCACCGGCUAACUACGU
rnacentral:rRNA from 1 species